AACAGCUGCAUUAUGACGGCAGAG
rnacentral:siRNA from 1 species